GUCAUCACUGAAUUCUGCUGGGCUACCUGGAAUUGGCUUAGGGUGGGAUUACACAGACUCCAGCCACACAGAAUUUCCUUCUAUUUGGUCAGGGGGAGCAUCAUCCAGUGAGGACAUGUGUUAGUGAUCUCUCUUGCAUAAGCUAGGAAUUCCCUCAGGAUCCAUUUUUUCCAGGAGUUUUGAGAAAGGGACCGACGGCAAAGAGGAUGGUCCUUCCACUCCCAAGAGCAGCCGUAUUACUUAAAAACUAGAGAAAUGCAGGGACUCAAAACAACCCCGGUACAGCCUGUUCCCUCUUCCCGCAUAGGAUACGAGCCUGUGUGGGCCCUGAUUCCACAGUGCACUAAAGACCCGUGGCACCUGCAUCACUGGCGUAAAUGACAAGCUUCUGAAGUUCAGAUUCAUUAACACUGAGAGUGGUACCCAGUGGAUUUGUGGCAGGGACAGGGUUUUGCUAUGCUGUGCAGACUGGUCUCAAACUCCUAGGUUCAAGCCAUCUGCCUGCCUCAACUUCCUACAGUGCUAAGAUUACAGCCAUGAACUGCUGUGCCCAGCUAGGAAAUGCUUCAAACACUUGAGAUUUCUGAUUAACCAAACUGGCUAGCGUUGUGUCGAUUUGUCUCAAUUACUAAGGACUGCUGGAAUUUUGCUGGGAAUAUGUUUCGGGAAAGGACUUUCUGUCGCCUUCACACUUCCGCUCAGUGGCAAUGUUUUUCACGUUCAUUGACUAUCAACUGGUUGUCUACAACUCAAAUUACAUAAUGAAUCCAGCACAUAAAUUAUUUACCCAGAUUUAAUUCCAGCAACUGUUAUCUUUGUAUUUUUUUCCCCUCUGCCAGCUAAUCUGGCUCCUUUCAUUGGAAUUUUGGUCAUGCCCAUUCUCCUUCUGCACUAAAUUAUCUCCAUAACAUAGUAUAAACAGAACAAGCUUGUGUGUGAUAUGCUUAACUGUUAAUUUACCUAAUUAAACUAAUUCAAUUAAAUCAUUUACAUCUUUUUGGUAACAUGCCAGUUGAUACCACAGCAGAAGUGGGAUGUUUCAGAAGAUGAUUGUUCAGCAAAUGAAUGGGGGAAAAAACACACACAAAAUGAGACAACCGUCCAAAUCUCUUGGCUUGAAAAUUAAAUGAUACUGAAAAAAGGCAGCUUCCAAGGGGUACCGUAACUAGGUAUUUUUCUUAAAUCAAUUUUCUCUAGAAAUUUGUAUUUUAACACAGUGAUGGCAAUGUAUUGUGUAAGAUAUCUUAAACACUAUUUGUACAUUCACAAAUUUGGUAUGUUUAAGUAAUGUGUACUUGUUCCC